rnacentral:rRNA from 1 species
AAUGAACGUUGGCGGCGUGGAUUAGGCAUGCAAGUCGGACGGGCCGCAAGGCCAGUGGCGUAAGGGUGAGUAAGGCGACGGCAAUCGUCCCCACGGUUGGGUAUAGCCGCGAGAAAUCGCGGGUAAUCCCCAGCGACGCAAGAGGUCGGCAUCGACGUCUUGCCAAAGGCUCGCUGCCGUGGGACGAGCCGUCGUGGUAU